UUGACUUUGAAGUUACUGAGAUUAAUGGGCUGAUGAGUGUCGAUAUAAAGACUAUAGAACAGAUUUUGCCAACAGGAAAUGCACCAGAAGAGUUUCCUUACACUUACGUUGUGUUGAAGGUUGCUCAGGAUUGUCUACUUGUCGCAUAUGGUGAAUCAAGUGAUGGACGGGUAAAGUGUCUGCUUUGGGGAUUAUCCAGAAAAAAUGUUAACAAAGAUACAGAGUGCUAUAAGGUCCUCGCCUUGUAUUGCACCGAAGAUUUGUACGAUGUGACGGAAACUGAAGGUCCGUGCCAGCAAUACGAUCGUGACGAAGACAGACGUAACAAGAAAGCAGAGCAGGAGGAAGAAACACUUUAGCGCCGUGUCCAACAAAUUUUCGAAAAUAAAAGAACCCUGUCAGU